rnacentral:misc_RNA from 1 species
AUAUACAUCAGAAAUGCCAUUUUCGAGACCCUUUUCAGUUUUUAUGUUUCUCCCAUUUCUGAUCAUGAAUCGAAGGAGUUGAUUGUUCAGAUAGUGAGGAAGUCCGUCAGAAUACCUAAGAUGGCCAGGUACUUGGUUGAACAGUGUGGCUUGAUCUCAUGGUCAUCCUGUGCUGUUUCAUCUCUUUCUUGGAGUCAAUGCAGAAGAAAUUCAUUUGUUGAGUUGACUGUUAUACUGGAGGCCCUAAAUGAAGUCGUUUUGUCGAGACACACUGUUGAGUGGAUGCAGAAAUAUGCCUUGGAGCAGCUUGUGGAACUCUCUUGCAAUCUGUACAAGAUGCUAAUUGAAGGUGUUGAAAGGCUUAAAGUAAAUAGUCAACUUGUUAAACUGAUUCUACAAAUAUUGAGAUCAGCAUUGAGGAUAUCCCAAAAGAGGAAAGUUUAUCAACCACAUUUCA